rnacentral:rRNA from 1 species
GAACGCCCGUAGCAAUACGGGAGUGGCAGACGGGAGAGUAACACGUGGGAACGUGCCCUUCAGUUCGGAACAACCCAGGGAAACUUGGGCUAAUACCGGAUACGUCCGUAAGGAGAAAGAUUUAUCGCUGAAGGAUCGGCCCGCGUCUGAUUAGCUAGUUGGUGGGGUAAUGGCCCACCAAGGCGACGAUCAGUAGCUGGUCUGAGAGGAUGAUCAGCCACACUGGGACUGAGACACGGCCCAGACUCCUACGGGAGGCAGCAGUGGGGAAUCUUGGACAAUGGGGGAAACCCUGAUCCAGCGACGCCGCGUGGGUGAUGAAGGCCUUCGGGUCGUAAAGCCCU